rnacentral:piRNA from 1 species
UNUCAUUUUGUCUUCAUUGCCAAUUGCAGC